rnacentral:rRNA from 1 species
AGAGUUUGAUCCUGGCUCAGAUUAAACGCUGGCGGCAUGCCUUACACAUGCAAGUCGAACGGCAGCACGGGGGCAACCCUGGUGGCGAGUGGCGGACGGGUGAGUAAAGCAUCGGAACAUAUCCUGGAGUGGGGGAUAACGUAGCGAAAGUUACGCUAAUACCGCAUAUUCUGUGAGCAGGAAAGCAGGGGAUCGCAAGACCUUGCGCUCUGGGAGCGGCCGAUGUCGGAUUAGCUAGUUGGUGGGGUAAAGGCCUACCAAGGCGACGAUCCGUAGCGGGUCUGAGAGGAUGAUCCGCCACACUGGGACUGAGACACGGCCCAGACUCCUACGGGAGGCAGCAGUGGGGAAUUUUGGACAAUGGGCGGAAGCCUGAUCCAGCCAUGCCGCGUGAGUGAAGAAGGCCUUCGGGUUGUAAAGCUCUUUCGGCGGGGAAGAAAUUGCACGGGUUAAUACCCUGUGUAGAUGACGGUACCCGAAUAAGAAGCACCGGCUAACUACGUG